rnacentral:rRNA from 1 species
UUGAACGCUGGCGGCAUGCUUUACACAUGCAAGUCGAACGGUAACAGGGAGCUUGCUCCGCUGACGAGUGGCGAACGGGUGAGUAAUGCGUCGGAACGUACCGAGUAAUGGGGGAUAACGCAGCGAAAGCUGUGCUAAUACCGCAUACGCCCUGAGGGGGAAAGUGGGGGAUCGCAAGACCUCACGUUAUUCGAGCGGCCGACGUCUGAUUAGCUAGUUGGUGGGGUAAAGGCUCACCAAGGCGACGAUCAGUAGCGGGUCUGAGAGGAUGAUCCGUCACACUGGAACUGAGACACGGUCCAGACUCCUACGGGAGGCAGCAGUGGGGAAUUUUGGACAAUGGGCGCAAGCCUGAUCCAGCAAUGCCGCGUGCAGGAUGAAGGCCUUCGGGUUGUAAACUGCUUUUGUACGGAACGAAAAGACUCCUUCUAAUAAAGGGGGUUCAUGACGGUACCGUAAGAAUAAGCACCGGCUAACUACGU